UAUAUAUUCAUGAGGGUUGCGUUCCCUCUCUCUCACCCUCGCCUGGGUCCCAAUGAGUUCAUCGUUAAACGAAUCCAAAAACAUCGGGGAAAUGAGACUGCUCAGACGGGCUAUUGUUGGGAGAAUGAAGUCUGUAUUGAUGAUUGGCAAGAUGUGCAUUGCUGGAGCUGCAGCUGGACCCUGAAGAGCUUUACUAGACCUUCCAGCGCAUUGUUUGAGAACGUCAACGUGAUCAUCUAUACCCCUUGGUAAGGAUGAGAAUGGACCUAUGGGCUUCAUUAUGGUACACGGUCUACUUAAUAUCCUGCUCCUAGACCAAUGCAGUCAUUGGUACUGUUGACUAUGGAUCUGGACUGCAUGAACUUUUUUACUUUGAAGCAGUUGGUGGAGAUGUAUGUAAUGAAGUUUGCUGCCAAAGGUGAAGCCCAGCUGGAACCAGCUGGGCGGUGCAAGAAGUUGGAGGACAUGAUGAAGCUUUGGGGAGACCGGUAAUCUGACCCUUCUGCCACUUCACCAGAUGGCUAAAUAAUUCCCAGGACUUUAGCCCAAUUGAUCCUGGACCCUAUCUUUAAUAUAUUUGAUGCCAUCAUGAACUUCAUUGGCAGAUCCUGCCUGGAGACCCCAUGGAAGCCAAUUCCAAGCCUGCCCAGAUGGUGGCUGACACACAAAAGCGCAAGGGACUCGAAGGCAUUCUAGCUUUAGACAACUACUUGGACAAAUUGUAGAUUUACACUAGAGGCAUGACCAUAGUUUUUAGGUGGUCUUGUUGUCUGCAUUACAGACCAACAGGCAAAUGGUGGCUUUUCUCACCUCCUAGUGGGAUUUAUAAAUUUAGUCAAAUGAGUUGCACAAUUUAUGUACUGUGGUAUGUGGAUAUUCUGUGCUUGCUGUGAUAUCAUUAAAAGAUAAUAACAGUCUACCUCAAUGUAAAAUAUUUCUGGAAGACUGGUGUUUUUGUAAGCCUGAAAUACAAGUCUUAAUCAGCAA